rnacentral:rRNA from 1 species
AGAGUUUGAUCCUGGCUCAGGAUGAACGCUAGCUACAGGCUUAACACAUGCAAGUCGAGGGGCAGCAUGAACUUAGCUUGCUAAGUUUGAUGGCGACCGGCGCACGGGUGAGUAACACGUAUCCAACCUGGCCGAUGACUCGGGGAUAGCCUUUCGAAAGAAAGAUUAAUACCCGAUGGCAUAGUUCUUCCGCAUGGUAAGAACUAUUAAAGAAUUUCGGUCAUCGGAUGGGGAUGCGUUCCAUUAGGUUGUUGGCGGGGUAACGGCCCACCAAGCCUUCGAUGGAUAGGGGUUCUGAGAGGAAGGUCCCCCACAUUGGAACUGAGACACGGUCCAAACUCCUACGGGAGGCAGCA